GACGAACGCUGGCGGCGUGCUUAACACAUGCAAGUCGAACGGAAAGGCCCUGCGAUUGUGGGGUGCUCGGGUGGCGAACGGGUGAGUAACACGUGAGUAACCUGCCCUUGACUUUGGGAUAACUUCAGGAAACUGGGGCUAAUACCGGAUAGGAGCUCCUGCUGCAUGGUGGGGGGUGGAAAGUUUCGGCGGUUGGGGAUGGACUCGCGGCUUAUCAGCUUGUUGGUGGGGUAGUGGCUUACCAAGGCUUUGACGGGUAGCCGGCCUGAGAGGGUGACCGGCCACAUUGGGACUGAGAUACGGCCCAGACUCCUACGGGAGGCAGCAGUGGGGAAUAUUGCACAAUGGGCGGAAGCCGGAUGCAGAAACGCCGCGUGCGGGAUGACGGCCUUCGGGUUGUGAACCGCUUUCGCCUGUGACGCAGCGUGAGUGACGGUAAUGGGUAAAGAAGCACCGGCUAACUACGUG
rnacentral:rRNA from 1 species